UCUACUUUGUCUACCGUCUAUUUAUUUAUAGAGUUAAAAUCGAGGAUUGUGUCUCCAUUGAUAUCAUCAGCUACCGCUACCUAGCUUUUUUUUGCUAUUUAAUAACCUUGACGAUGGCCAAAUCAUCGAAAAAAAGAUGGGAUCAACUAUUUAUUAUGAGAGUCCAGGAGUAACUUGUGCUAGAGUUCUUACCCCAGCAAGCCUUGUGGAAGCUUUUGAAGAGAGACAAAAUAUUUGUAUUGCGGAUAAUGCUUGAGUUCAUUCUCUGCUAGUUUAGCAGCAUAGCGAAUAAGAAGACAAACUGUAUAAGGCGAUUGAAUUGGCCUUUGCAAUAACAUGUUGACC